rnacentral:rRNA from 1 species
UACAGGGGGGGCAAGCGUUGUUCGGAAUUACUGGGCGUAAAGGGCUCGUAGGCGGCCAACUAAGUCACACGUGAAAUCCCCAGGCUUAACCUGGGAACUGCGUGUGAUACUGGAUGGCUUGAAUCCGGGAGAGGGAUGCAGAAUUCCAGGUGUAGCGGUGAAAUGCGUAGAUAUCUGGAGGAAUACCGGUGGCGAAGGCGGCAUCCUGGACCGGCAUUGACGCUGAUGAGCGAAAGCUAGGGGAGCGAACAGG